UUCUUGAGUUCUUCUUUUUUUUUUUUUUUUUAAGAUUUAUUUAUUUAUUUAUUAUAUGUAAGUACACUGUAGCUGUCUUCAGAUGCACCAGAAGAGGGCAUCAGAUCUCAUUACAGAUGGUUGUGAGCCACCAUGUGGUUGCUGGGAUUUGAACUUCGGACCUUCGCAAGAGCAGUCGGGUGCUCUUACCCACUGAGCCAUCUCACCAGCCCUUCUUGAGUUCUUUAUAUAUAUUGGAUAUUAGUCCCCUAUCUGAUUUAGGAUAGGUAAAGAUCCUUUCCCAAUCUGUUGGUGGCCUUUUUUGUCUUAUUGAUGGUGUCUUUUGCCUUACAGAAGCUUUGCAAUUUUAUGAGGUCCCAUUUGUCGAUUCUCGAUCUUACAGCACAAGCCAUUGCUGUUCUAUUCAGGAAUUUCCCCCCUGUGCCCAUAUCUUCGAGGGCUUAAGCGUCUCUUAUCUGUAGAACUGGGGCAGUGUUGCCUGGCUGUUAGAGAAGAAGAGGCUAGGCAGACAGAUAAGGUUGGAGCUGGGUCAGGGGUCAGGGGUCAGGGGUCAGGGAGAAACGGCCCACGGAAAUCAAAGCGUACAUGCACAGUGAUUGGGUUUUUACAGACCUCAUGGCCCGCUUUCUCACGGAGUGCAGUAAGAAUCAGUUACUUUAAAUUUUUAAUUCUACUCCUCCUGCAUUUUCUUUCAUAGCAGAUGUAGUCAUUAGGCCCAAGAAGUCAUUAAAGUGUUUAAUAAGGUUAUUAAAUUGACUAACAGUGCCUUUGGAAGCCAUUUCCAUAGGAAAUCCAUAUGAUUCCAGGUAUGGGAUAUGGGGCUGUCCUCUGUGGCGGACAGCCUGUCAGCGUCUCCGUGAAGGAUGGCAGGCAGGUCGUGAGGGAUGCGUCUAAUUAAAGAGAUUAUAGGUGAACCUCGGCUGUCUGGGCAUGCUGUUCGUAGCUGGAAGUGUGUUGAAAGUUCACUAAUUCCUACUAAUUGCAGGGUGGAGGAGAAGAGGUCCAUCCAAAUUAUGGAAUAUUUUAAAAUAAAUGCACUUUUAUUACAUUCGGGUACAUAUUUUAACUCCAACUAGGCCAACAAAUUGUUGCCCUGCACAAGUCUUAGGGGACAAAGUUAUUGAGGGUAUCAGAGUGAUUUUCAAUUAUUUCUAUGUAAAUAGGCAUUUCUGAAGUUCUUCAGGGUGUUUGAAGACAGUUGGUUGUCAUAGAUCUUAAGCACUUCACCGGCUACCUUCUAUGGUUAAUUGGCACACCUUUGGAGGAUGGGAUGGGUAAAUUAAGAUAAACUUGAAGCUAUUCUAGGGAAUAACUUAAUUCAAUGAUAAGUGGUGUCCAAGAGGCCAGGUGGAAGAGGUUUUUUAUUUCAGCUCAAGUUUAAUUUUGUUUUCCCCAUGAAGGCAAUUUGCUCAUUGGUGCAGGCACCCGCUGAUUGGCUGACUGAUGUUGGUAGAGAUACUGAAGGUGUCAGGCAUUCUUGUCUUGAAAGCCAGCCCAAGUUGCUUAUGGUAGGAUCCAGGAGAAGGAGCCAGGCCCACUGGUUAGUGCCGUCCAGCACUAGGAGCCAGGGAGCAAGAGACUCUCCUAGGACAGUCAAAUAAAUCACACCAGGAGAGAUCUGAUGAGCACACGCCAGAAAAAGGUUAGGGUAGGAAGCAGAAGGAAGAAAAAGAAAACAGCCCGGCUUUAGUAAUCCAGGUAGGAAGACCAGUGUUCAAGGGCAUACAUGACACGAGGCCCUGUUGCAAUCCUGGAGUCCUCUGCCCAACUUCAGGCAGCUGUUAAUGGAGUCUUGCUCUCCCCAGCAAUGGUCACCACUUACGGAACUGCUGGAAAGCAGAGCCUUGUGUGGGUCUUUAGCUUUCUGUCCUAGGAGGCUGUUAUCUGCGUGAGUCAGGGUGGGGUGAGGGGACUGUUGCCCUAGGGAGGAUUUAGGUACACAGGAAGAAGGUGUGACGGAGUGGACCAGUCUGUGGCUGGAGCCUUAAGUCAGAGAAAUCUGGGUUUGGAAACUGAGGUGUGUGUUGGGGGAGCCUGAGUUAGGAAUGAGAGUUCAAAGCCAGUUUGGGUUAUGUAGUGACUUGGAGGGAGGGAAGGAAAGAAGAAGGAAGGAAGGAAGGAAGGAAGGAAGGAAGGAAGGAAGGAAGUUAGGGAGGAAGGAAGGAAGGAAGGGAGGGUGGAUGGGCGGGCCAGUGUGAUCAUGGUGAUUUGAGACAAGGUCUCUCUGUAGCCCUGGCUGGCCUGGGACUCACCAUGAGGUGAUUCUACUCCUGAGUGCUGGAAUUAAUGAUGUGUACUGAUAGACUUGGAUUAAAUUUUUAAAUUUUUCUCCCCCUCCCAAACCCCAUUUCUUUUUCUUAUAUUGAAACUGGUUUUUCUCCUUCAUUAACAAAGCCUAGAUUAGAUUUUCUUCUUUCUUUUCUCCUCCCUUCCUCCCUCCCCCUCCCUUUCCCCUCCCCUUCUUUUUUUUCCUGAGUCAGGGCUUCUUUCUCUAUGUAGCCCUGGCUGUCCUAGAACUUGCUUGCCCAUAGACCAGGGUGACCUUGAGUCCAGACAUCUUCCCGCCUCUACUUCCCUGUGUGCCUGACUUGUUUGGAACUCAGUAUAGGGCCAGGGGCCUUGAACCCAGGACGAUCCUGCCUCCACCUCCUGAGGGCUGGGAUUUAUAAGUCUGAGCCUCCGUGCCUGGCUCCCACUUCUGCUCACGGUGCUCGAGGCCCUGCCAUUUCAAUGCUGGCCCAUGUUUUCCAUCUCUGUUCAUGUGUGACCCUGAGUGGUUGGAAAGAGUUGGCUUAUGGUCGACUCAUCGGAGAAUCUGUGCUUCUUCCAUGGAAAACUGGUGCUACCAAUACCCUCUGUGGGAACGUGGCUUCCACGGGACACACUGACUCGGAACCAACCGUCCCUUAGUCCUCCACUAGGCACGGUGCCAAGGACGAUACUACUUUUGAGGGCCAAUGAGACUUAGAAUUUCUUUUAAAAUUAGAAGAGAGAACUUUUAGGUCAAGGAAAGGCCCGUAAAAGCCUGAAUGGUUCGGAGCCCUAGGUGUGCAGGUUUGGGAGGCUGGGAUGGGGGUGUGGUCUUCUGAAAGCUCGUGGUCUUCUCUUCCCAGUCUAUUUAUUUGUUGAGAUUGGAUGUGUGGUAUAGCUGUGAGCCCUAACUCCCUGUCCAUUACUCUCUUCUCUUCCUUUAUUCCCUCUCCUUCCCCCUUCCUAACCAAGCAAACAUAGAUUUAUUGAUUUAUUUGUAUUUUUUUUUUCAGGAUGGGGUUUCUCUGUGUAGCCCUGGCUGUCCUGAAACUCGCUCUGUAGACCAGGCUGGCCUUGCCUCUGCCUCCCUAGGCCCCCGAGGGCGUGCAGUGAGACUGACUUCUCAGAUGCAGGAUUAGGGGUGUGCUGCUUUCUAACACCAGACCUGCUGGAUGCAGUGUUACUGUCAGCAAACAGGAACUGCUUCUCUGCUUUUGAAAAGUCUCUGACGGACUGAAGAAAACCUCUUGUUUAUUAUCUGAGCAACAGCACAGAGGUCUGUCCAAACCCAUGGCCUGCCUCCCUCUUCUCUUUUGAAUUUUCUAAAAAAAUUAAAAUUUUUUUGUGUGUCUAGGUGUUCUUUCUGCAUGUAUAUCUGUGCACCACAAGCACACAGUGCCCAGAAGACAGGGUCAAAUCCGCUAGGAACUGGAGUGCUGGGACGCCAGGAAGAGCAACGAGCGCUCUCUCCAACUCCUUUCUUCUACUCUUACUAUCUUUGAAAACAAACACAAUUAUCCACAAUGUUUUUUUUUAAAUGUGUUUACUUACUGAUUUAUUUUGUUGUUUUGACUCGGACUCUGGCUCUGUGGCUGAGCCUGGCCUGGAAUUUAUGCCCCACCCCCACGCCUCUGUCCCCCCAAGUGCUGGGGUUGCAGGUGUGCCCUUGUGCCUCUGCUGUAGAAAACGUCCCCUUUACUCAAACACAAAGAUGAAGGGAAAGUGACUUGAUGUAUAGAAAAUGUAAUUAAAAAUUGUGAGGGAGAGGGUGUGUGGCUCGGCUGGGCAGUUUCCAGUCCCUAGUGCUUGCUUUUCAAAAGACCUUUGUUGCUUCUCUUUAUUUGCUAGACAGGCCCUAGGUGUUUGAGGUGGUGUUAGUAACUGUUGCACUAAAAAGCUGAGACAGAUGGCAACUUAUUUUUCAAAGAUUGAGCCUUCAGGACCAGUUUCAGAACUAUCUUCACACACAGGUCAUACGCACUCUCCGCUCAGUGUUGCAUUAUUUAGAAGUUUCCUUGAGGAAAAUACGU
rnacentral:lncRNA from 1 species